rnacentral:rRNA from 1 species
AUUGAACGCUGGCGGUAUGCUUAACACAUGCAAGUCGAACGAUGAGAAAGAGCUUGCUCUUUCGAUUAGUGGCGGACGGGUGCGUAACGCGUAGGAAUCUACCUACUAGUGGGGGACAACUUAGGGAAACUUAAGCUAAUACCGCAUACGCCCUACGGGGGAAAGAAGGGGAUCGCAAGACCUUUUGCUAAUAGAUGAGCCUGCGUAGGAUUAGCUAGUUGGUGGGGUAAAAGCUCACCAAGGCGACGAUCCUUAACUGGUUUGAGAGAAUGAUCAGUCACACUGGAACUGAGACACGGUCCAGACUCCUACGGGAGGCAGCAGUGGGGGAUAUUGGACAAUGGGCGAAAGCCUGAUCCAGCAAUACCGCGUGUGUGAAGAAGGCCUUAGGGUUGUAAAGCACUUUCAAUUGGAAGGAAAACCUCGAAGCUAAUACCUUCGAGUUUGACAUUACCUUUAGAAGAAGCACCGGCUAACUCCGUGCCAGCAGCCGCCGUAAUAC